GAUGAACGCUGGCGGCGUGCUUAACACAUGCAAGUCGAACGGAAAGGCCAGUGCUUGCACUGGUACCCGAGUGGCGAACGGGUGAGUAACACGUGGGUGAUCUGCCCUGCACUUCGGGAUAAGCCUGGGAAACUGGGUCUAAUACCGGAUAGGACAAUGGUUUGGAUGCCGUUGUGGAAAGUUUUUUCGGUGUGGGAUGAGCUCGCGGCCUAUCAGCUUGUUGGUGGGGUAAUGGCCUACCAAGGCGUCGACGGGUAGCCGGCCUGAGAGGGUGUACGGCCACAUUGGGACUGAGAUACGGCCCAGACUCCUACGGGAGGCAGCAGUGGGGAAUAUUGCACAAUGGGCGCAAGCCUGAUGCAGUGACGCCGCGUGGGGGAUGACGGCCUUCGGGUUGUAAACUCCUUUCGCUAGGGACGAAGCGUAUUUGUGACGGUACCUGGAGAAGAAGCACCGGCUAACUACGUG
rnacentral:rRNA from 1 species